rnacentral:misc_RNA from 1 species
AUAUAUAUAAUAUAUUUAUCAUCAUAGUAAAAUUUGUAAUUGAAAACUAAGAAUUAUAAUUGACAACAAUUAUAACAAUUGUUAAAGUGUUCAACUGAUUAUUUGGGGAACCUAGGUGGUAUAUAGAGAAACCGGUUUGGUGGUGUUGCAAAAAAUUUUGAACAAUCGUAACAAUUG